rnacentral:lncRNA from 1 species
CGGGGCAGCGCCGCUCCCCUCGGCCGCGUCCCGCAGCGGCCAGCGGCUCCCGGCCCGGCCCGGCCCGGCCCGGCUCGGCUCGGCUCCCGGCAUGGCCCGGCUCGGCUCCCGGCCCGGCCGCUGUCAGCGCUGCUCCGCCGUGCCCGGUGUUGCCAUGGCUCCCCGGGCAGCCCGGCCCUGCAGGAAGCACCUCUCGCCCAAGAGAAGGCUGAGAAGAGUACAAUUUAAGAGCAUGGAGCAUUCUGGGGUGUGUAACUCUCUGUAUCAAAGAAAGCCUUACAUGGCACAAUUUGGAUGAUCUCUGGACUUAAACCCAUUACCAGAAAAAGAUAAUGGUGCUGUUGUGAGAGCCAAAUGAAGGGACAACACAUAAUACCAUAUACAAGUAAAACCAGAGGAGAUCUUGAAUGAGCAAAGAAGAGGUGCAUGAUGGAGUUAUUUACCAGGUACUAUAAUAUGAAGAAAAGCAGAGUACCUCUUCUCAAAAGGGAAUUACAGAAAAUAAUUGAAGAUACUGUGGCAUCAUUCCUAUAAAUUCCUUAUGCUCCACAGUUCCCUGUUUCUCAGAGGUACCCCCUUGCUAUCAGAAGUUUUACACCCACAUGUUCUCUUUCCACAUCCCAACAUCCUGUCUGUCUAAGUUUGUUUCCUAGCCUCAGCAUCUCUAUCUGAUUGUGAACAACGCUGUCACAGUGGUAAACACUUUCAGAAAGAUAUCCUGUCUCUUUUUUUUGUAUGUGAAAGCAAGAGGUAAGAAGGGUAUACUGAAGGUGUUUUCCUGGCACUGCUACAGUGCCUGGAGGGCAAAGGCUAUUCCUCCUCCCCUGUGCCACCAAGCAAUCCAUGUUCAGCAGCAGAGUGAAGAGCAGGAUAUAAAACUAGUAAAACAGUAUCACUCAGAACCUGGAGAAAUGAGAAAAGAAGGCUUCCAUCUGCCUGUGAAGUUUUUAUGUACAUAAUGGAGACUGGUGUGAAACAUAUCUACAGGAGACAGGUGAAAGGGGAACUUGGUGCUUCUGAGCGGUCCUGUGGUUGAGGAAGUUUUGUGAGAGAGGUUUUUUUCAGAGAGCUUCAAAAUAGGUGAUGAUGAUGUGCAGUAGUGGGCCAAUUCCCACCAGAUGCAAAAUAACCUCUGUGUGAGAAUAUACUGGAGCUGUGAGGAACCUCAGCCCCUGCAGUUUACAGCUGUCAAUCUGCUCCUGCUGCUCUGAAUGACUUGCUAAAGUAAGCACAGCCUCUGCUGGUUUAUUCACUGAGCACAGACAGAACAAAUACAUGCAAUGCACAAUAAUUCUCCA